AUAGACUAGGUCAAGUUCAACCCCUGCUCAAUUCGAGACGUGGUGAUGUGGCUUACCAUGGAGGUAUGUGGUUAAAUGGUUAAUAAUCGCAUACUCAU